GACGAACCACACAAACGUUAUUCGGAAUCACUGGGCAUAAAGGGCGCGUAGGCGGCUUAUCAAGUCAGGGGUGAAAUCCGGCAGCUUAACUGUCGAAGUGCCCCUUGAUACUGAUGAGCUCGAGGGAGAUAGGGGGUGUGUGGAACUUCCGGUGGAGCGGUGAAAUGCGUUGAUAUCGGAAGGAACGCCGGUGGCGAAAGCGACACACUGGAUCUCUUCUGACGCUGAGGCGCGAAAAGCCAGGGGGAGCAAAACGGGG
rnacentral:rRNA from 1 species